GCCAGCGUGGCGUAGUGGUUUGAGUGUUGGACUGUGGCUCUAUAGACCAGGGUUUGACUCCCAGCUUGGAA
rnacentral:tRNA from 1 species